rnacentral:rRNA from 1 species
GCUCAGAUUGAACGCUGGCGGCAGGCCUAACACAUGCAAGUCGAGCGGAUGAAAGGAGCUUGCUCCUGGAUUCAGCGGCGGACGGGUGAGUAAUGCCUAGGAAUCUGCCUGGUAGUGGGGGACAACGUUUCGAAAGGAACGCUAAUACCGCAUACGUCCUACGGGAGAAAGCAGGGGACCUUCGGGCCUUGCGCUAUCAGAUGAGCCUAGGUCGGAUUAGCUAGUUGGUGAGGUAAUGGCUCACCAAGGCGACGAUCCGUAACUGGUCUGAGAGGAUGAUCAGUCACACUGGAACUGAGACACGGUCCAGACUCCUACGGGAGGCAGCAGUGGGGAAUAUUGGACAAUGGGCGAAAGCCUGAUCCAGCCAUGCCGCGUGUGUGAAGAAGGUCUUCGGAUUGUAAAGCACUUUAAGUUGGGAGGAAGGGUUGUAGAUUAAUACUCUGCAAUUUUGACGUUACCGACAGAAUAAGCACCGGCUAACUCUGUGCC